UUUCGCAAGUAUAAUUCUCGAAGCAAAAUAUUAGUGUUUCAAACAAUCCUUAUAAUUAAUUGACCCUAUAAUAGUUCUUAGCAAUUUACCUUCUAUUGAAAUUUGAACACUCGAUCGUGUAUUGAAAGAUUAUUGUAAUCGUUUUUUUGUUUGUUUGUUUGUUUGUUUUUUUAAUGCAGACUUUGGUUAUUUCACUUUCUAGGAAAUGCUGAAGAUCGGGGAUCGUGCUUAGUCAAAGCAUUGUAAUAAUGCCGACUACAAAACAGUCAACAGAUGACUCCACAGUGUGGCUGAAGAUGAGCCAAGCUGAAUGUAUAGUGAUAUUCAAGAUCCUGGAAGGGUUGUAAGAAAAUCAACUGACAUGGUAUAUGACGAGACUGGUUAUUCCCAAUCUGGAAUGAGUGGAAUUAUAAAAGAAGAACUAAAAUAUUUCAUCACUCUGCAUAUGAAACAGGAUUAUUGCUGUACCACAGCAGCCUGGGGAUAUUAUAUCUGCCACUGCUUACAAAUAGUUUGGAAGUAACUGGCAAGAAUGGAGGAACAAGUCCAAGGACAAAGCCAUCUGAUGAUGGGUCAUGCUGUUGAGGAGCACAGAGAAAUGUUUCGAAGCUUGCUCCACAUAUGAAUCAAGUUACGAAAUGUAGGUGAACAAGGAAUGACUCCAGCAGCAAUCCCAUGUUUCAGGUAUUCGCGACAACUAGCCUGAAGACUGUAAAGACUCAAAUUCUUGGUUGUAAAUAAUGUUA